GAGGUAUUAGUAAAAUAUUACAUGACUUUGUCAAAGUCAAAUUAUAGGUGAAACUCCUAUAUACCUCU
rnacentral:tRNA from 1 species